GACGAACGCUGGCGGCGUGCUUAACACAUGCAAGUCGAACGGAAAGGCCCUUCGGGGUACUCGAGUGGCGAACGGGUGAGUGACACGUGGGUGAUCUGCCCUGCACUUUGGGAUAAGCCUGGGAAACUGGGUCUAAUACCGAAUAGGACCACGCGCUUCAUGGUGUGUGGUGGAAAGCUUUUGCGGUGUGGGAUGGGCCCGCGGCCUAUCAGCUUGUUGGUGGGGUAAUGGCCUACCAAGGCGACGACGGGUAGCCGGCCUGAGAGGGUGACCGGCCACACUGGGACUGAGAUACGGCCCAGACUCCUACGGGAGGCAGCAGUGGGGAAUAUUGCACAAUGGGCGCAAGCCUGAUGCAGCGACGCCGCGUGAGGGAUGACGGCCUUCGGGUUGUAAACCUCUUUCAAUAGGGACGAAGCGCAAGUGACGGUACCUAUAGAAGAAGCACCGGCCAACUACGUG
rnacentral:rRNA from 1 species